UACGGAGGGUGCUAGCGUUGUUCGGAAUUACUGGGCGUAAAGCGCGCGUAGGCGGCUUUGUAAGUUAGAGGUGAAAGCCCGGGGCUCAACUCCGGAAUUGCCUUUAAGACUGCAUCGCUUGAAUCCGGGAGAGGUGAGUGGAAUUCCGAGUGUAGAGGUGAAAUUCGUAGAUAUUCGGAAGAACACCAGUGGCGAAGGCGGCUCACUGGACCGGCAUUGACGCUGAGGUGCGAAAGCGUGGGGAGCAAACAGG
rnacentral:rRNA from 1 species